AACGAACGCUGGCGGCAUGCCUAACACAUGCAAGUCGAACGAAGGCUUCGGCCUUAGUGGCGCACGGGUGCGUAACGCGUGGGAAUCUGCCCUUUGGUUCGGAAUAACAGCUGGAAACGGCUGCUAAUACCGGAUGAUGACGAAAGUCCAAAGAUUUAUCGCCAGAGGAUGAGCCCGCGUUGGAUUAGGUAGUUGGUGGGGUAAAGGCCUACCAAGCCGACGAUCCAUAGCUGGUCUGAGAGGAUGAUCAGCCACACUGGGACUGAGACACGGCCCAGACUCGUACGGGAGGCAGCAGUAGGGAAUAUUGGACAAUGGGCGCAAGCCUGAUCAAGCAAUGCCGCGUGAGUGAUGAAGGCCCUAGGGUUGUAAAGCUCUUUUACCCGGGAAGAUAAUGACGGUACCGGGAGAAUAAGCCCCGGCUAACUCCGUG
rnacentral:rRNA from 1 species